GAUUUGGUAGUCAAAUAUUAAGUAUAAUUGCAUCACUCCUCAAUUUACUUUUGCGAUUUUUUACCAUCAUCUCCCUGAGCAAACUCCUGCAGCAACGCAAUGGAACUAUUCCACCAUUUUUAAGCAGUAUUUUAGGGGUAGGGACUUCCAGACACCCUGACUCAACUGUUGAAGCUUAAUUCUGUCAAUUUUCAAACGUUACAAUUUUUUUCCGAUGACAGCAAAGACCACUUUCUAAACCGAAGUAUAAAUUUUUAUGACUUUAAGUUAGGCACAGAAAGGAGCUGCAGUAGAUGGUGAAGAACGCUCAUAUGAAGAUAUCGAUCGCACAACAAUCCACCAAAGUGUGCCACAAACUGAAGUUGGUUUGGAUGCAAAACUUUCCUGUAAACAACACUCAAAAAUCCCACCAAAAACCUCCCAAUGCAAAUUUACUCCUGAUAAAAAUUCCAAAGAGACCAGUGAAGACGAAGUUCCAAAUUCUUCAAAAACUCUUUCACACACGCCUUCAAAAACCUCCCAAUGUAAAUCUAAUUACGGUCAGUGCCUUGCCAAGACUUAUGAAGAUGAACUUGUAGAACCUUCAGAAAUCGCUUCGAGAACCUCCUCUAAAGCCUCGGUGUGCGAAGUCAUCACUCCUGAUCAAUAUCCUGAGGAGGCCCCUGAAGACAAAAUGUGCAAUCCUCAAAAACCUUUCAAUGCAAACGAACUCCCGAUCAUUCUCCUGACAAAACUUGUGAACGGAAGUGUUGAGUGAGCACCUUGCUUCAGUCAACUUGCAAAUGACCGCCAUAGGUCAACAUUCAGAAGCAAAGAUAAUUUUCAAAGUCCUAAAAUUUCUUGUCCUUACUUUUACAAUACCAAUUUUGAGCUAUUAAUUAGAUUGAGUUCAGUUUUUGUCGUUUUCAUUAGGUAAAUAGGCACACAUAUUAAAUUCAAAGAAACCGAUAAAUUAGAAAAUCUUGUGGAGACUGAAUGGUACGCAUUUUCUUUUAAUAUUUACUCUAGAAAAUCCCAAACCCUAAAAGUAGUGCACUGCAUUUCAAUGGAGAUUAUGCAAAAUCGUCAGUUUUGGCUCACGUACAGAAUCGCACCGAAUUAUCGGAGCUGAUAGGGGAUCCUUCAAGGUGCCUGAAAAUGGUUGCUUUUGCUCUAAACCCUAGUGAACUCGAGAAACGGGAGAUGAAAUGAAAAUCUUUUAGUGCCCAUAACUUUAGAACGGAUUAAGUUUUUUUUUUAUUUAUUUUUUUUUUCAUUUUUCUGUAUUGAAAAAUAUUAAACGUUAACAGUCCUGUCUAAUCAAGUUUUAAAACUUGAAAGAAGGUUCAUUUUGAAUCAGUUAUACCUAUGGGGAUUUUUCGUCAGUGGACCUAAUUUUUUCCAGCUUUUUUUUAUUUUUUCUUGUCCUUUUUCAAUUUUUUUAGUUUCGAGCAUUGUAGUUAGAGUUACAAAAUUAUUUCUCCUAAAACAAGACCUCUCAAGCUUUAAAACGAACUCAAAAUUAUGCUGGGGAAAUGAUUUACGGUCGUUUAAAGUUGGCCCAGCGGUCCGUUAGAGAUUCUAGGCACAGUAGAACGCCCUAGGAUGUGGCUCAAAAUUUGUUUUGAGAGGGCGAAAAUUAAGGGGAAAAGAACAACCAUUUUUCGGCCUUUCUGGUAAUCCUCUAUCAGCCCUGAGAAGUAGGUGCAAUUCGGGGGGGGGGGGGGUAAAAAUAUGCCGAUUUCGCACACGGUCCGUUCUAAAUUUUUGCAGCUUAGUGGUGCAUGCUAAAAGGUUAGGUACUUUUGUUUCUCCCAUCCAGAUUUUAAAAAUUGCAUUUACAUUCUCAUUAUAUUACAAAUAGUAACUCGCCUGCCCAAACAGCCUGUCAUUUUAUAAACGCUUGAAGAAUACGCUCCCAAAAUGUCCAAAGCAAGAGGUCCUUACCAUAGAUUUUUACGUUGACUUUAUGUAAAAUUUACAUUAAUGAAAAAAAAUAGGCAUUAAAUUUGGUUCCAUUAAAAAUUGUUCAUUUGCAUCAAUGAGAAACACGAUGCGUCUACCUAAUGGUGCAAAACAAGUACAUAUUUACCUAAAAGUACGAAGCAAAGAAGAUUGGAAACAAAGAAGUUCAUUUUUGAAGCGUGUGAUAAUCUGAAAAAUCUUUGUACCCACCUUAUAGUCCUUAGGUACCACCAAUUGCAUGUGUACCGACUUUUGAGAAUGCUUCAUUGAUGUUGAGUAUACCCGCCGGGUUUGUUUGAAUUUGUCACGACCGUCUUACCGCAUAGGAUAUUUUGUGUGUAAAAAGAAGGGGGGUUAGAUAAUGCCUGAUAAAAAAGCUACCCGUAUUAAAUUUUUAAGCCUGAUACUAUACUUGACAAAGAAAACAAACCCUCGAUCCAAAAUAAUCAGGUUGAAUAUUUUUUUUCGGAAGUCAAAUUGG
rnacentral:lncRNA from 1 species